rnacentral:rRNA from 1 species
GACGAACGCUGGCGGCGUGCUUAACACAUGCAAGUCGAACGGAAAGGCCCCUUUGGUGGUACUCGAGUGGCGCACGGGUGCGUAACACUUGCGUAACCUUCCCUUGACUUCGGGAUAACUUCAGGAAACUGGGGCUAAUACCGGAUAGGAAUCCUUUCUGCAUGGUGGGGGUUGGAAAGCUUCGGCGGUUUUGGCUGGACUCGCUGCUUAUCAGCUUGUUGGUGGGGUAGUGGCUUACCAAGGCUUUGACGGGUAGCCGGCCUGAGAGGGCGACCGGCCACAUUGGGACUGAGGUACGGCCCAGACUCCUACGGGAGGCAGAAGUGGGGAAGAUUGCACAAUGGGCGGAAGCCUGAUGCAGCAACGCCGCGGGCGGGAUGACGGCCUUCGGGUUGUAAACCGCUUUCAGAAGGGGCGAAGCUUGUGGUGACGGUACCUGCAGAAGAAGCACCGGCUAACUACGUG